AGAAAGAAAGAAAGAAAGAAAGAAAGAAAGAUGUGGUUGAGAACAGAAAGCCAGCUAAAAUUGGAAAAGAAAAUGAAUGCAAAAAAUAAUAUUUCAGGGAGAAUUUAUGGUAGUUUAAAUCCCUAUUUGUUUUGCCAGAUAGAGAAAUCCUAAGCCUGUUACAUGAUCUUAAACAUCUUUCCAAGUGCUUCAGUGAAUCACUGCCAUUACCAAUAUGGGCAGAAAUUUACUAUAUCAGCUUCCCAGACACUGAACACAGUGUUGGCAGAGCUGAUAGGUAUUAACUCAGUGAGUCAGAUAGGGUGUUCUUUUUUUAUCUUCAAGGCACACAGGAGCAGCUCCAGCCAUGUUGUCCCUGCAGCUGCUGCCGAAAGCUGGCUGGCCAGUGUGAUGAGGCUGGAACUGCUGAUGACUGGUACGGCAAGACUUGCAUGGCUUGUACAAAGUUGUGAUGAUGCAGCCAAAGAAGAGUUUUGAAAAGCUACAUCUCAGGCAUCAAGGUCAAGAAAAACAAUUGGCUCCACAUAUGCUUUAAUGGGCAGUUCUUGAUAUUGGAAGAGGUGAUCGUGGAAAACCAGUACGAAGCAUCAGCACAGUUGAAGAAAACCAUGAGAAGUGAGAAGCACCAUGGAGAAGAACAGGCAGCUGUUAUGAACACAAUCCAACUUCCAGGACCACCCACUGCUUCACUGCAGGAAUUGGGGCAGAUUGAGUAUGUCCUGCAGCAAGAAUAAGGGAAAUUGAGACUAAGAAUUAAGGAGGAUAGGUGUUUGACUUAAGGUGAGCCUGAGGAAGGAGAAGAAAAGAUGUUUACUGGAAUGUUUUUUUUCUGAUACCUGGAUCGGUGAUUGAAAAUUUCUGUUGAUUGGUAAUUCACUGAAUUAAGUAAAACUUGCCCAGUUUUUGCCUUUAAUGCUGGCAAAUGCAAUAGCCAGAUCUUCAUUUUAUGGACACCCUUUAGCAUAUUCUGCUUUGAUAAAAUGGAGAUGCAUUAAUCUUUGGAAACUACAGAUAAAUACAGAUUAGGACUCUUUAUCCUGUCUGAGUACUCUGAAGAGGGGAACACAUACAAAACUAAAAGAAACUUUGACUACAUUAAUACUAGGCUGACCUAAAGAUAAUUAACGCAACCAGCUGAUAUGCUGGUUUGAAUUUACUCCUGUACUUCUGUAAUUGCUCAGCUUCCAAACCACAUCUGGUUUAUAUCUGUUUUGGAGCCAUAGAACAGACCACAAAAGGUUGCACCCAUCUCUAGCUAUUUCCUAUUUCUUUGUAUGUUUUAAAAAAUGUAAAU